AUUUUUUUUUUUUGGUACACUCGACCGGUUCACUUGAUUGGUUUGUGUUUUUGGUUUGCUGUUACUACGUAUUAACGUUUAUUUUUGAGUUUUGUCUGUUUUCAGGUUUCAUCAUGAGUAACUACAGUGGAGAAUCCUCUAUGGACCCUGAUUACAAUGUGGAUGAAGCUGAGUCCUUGUCCGCUAGACCGAGAGAGCAACAUAUUUACCAGAGCUUCAGGGAUGAAUUCAAACGCUCUGCAGCCCGACGUAAUCAGAGAAGAGCUGAAAUCGCCAGAGGAAAGAGGGCGAUGUCAAGUAGAUAUGAGCUGAUUGAUGAGGAUAUCGCAACUGAGUAUGAGCCAGAGUCAUGGCGCAAGGAGACGAAGCUGCUGAACAAACCUAACGAGGUUACAGUGGAGGAGUAUAUCAGGUUCUUUGAGAUGAAUGACUUCUGGGGAACGAGGUAUCCGUGCUAUGAGACUUUAGCCCAGCUGGGGUUACCGGAGGACGUACAGCAUCUGUUCGAGAAGUGUCAUCUGGAGACACUCAUGUCUUACCCUUACCCUGCCUAUAAGGAGGAGAAAAUCGAGUUUCUUUCCACGCUGCAAGUGGAGAUGUAUGAGGCGCUCACAGACUUUGAGCUGGAUACCAUGGGGUUAGGCUUCUUGACGUUCUCAGUGAAUGAACAGCGGUAUCAGCUUUCGAUCAAGAAGUUGGAAGAACUGUUUGGUUUCCCUAGUGGAAAGGGAACCAAACCCAGAUUUGAUAGAGAAGAGCUCAAGGAUUUGUGGGCCACUAUAGGGAACAAUCUACCGCUAAACUCGGCGCGGUCCAAGAGCAACCAAAUCCGGAGUCCUGUGAUCCGCUACUUUCAGAGAUCGGUUGCCAACGUCUUUUACUCCAGGGAAUCUACAGGCACCGUGUCUAACACGGACAUGGAGAUGAUAGAUUAUGCGCUUACAGGGAUUCUCCACCGGACGAAGGGAAAGAAUGUCUUGAGAGCGAUCUCAACAACGCACCACCAGUAAUGCCUCUGUUGAUCCAUCUGUGUGGAUACAGGAAGUGGGCGUUAACGAACGGAAAGAAGAAGGUGAGAGGAGCACUAUGCGUGGGUGGCGUUGUGACGCCAAUUCUGCAAGCUUGUGGAGUACCGUUCAAGGAACCAGGGUUAGCACCGAGGAUGAUGGACUUGGAUCAUUUGCGCAGAUGUGAGUUCUUGGAGUUUGACAUGGCUGGCGACUUUCACCACUACAGGUUCGAGCAUUCAUCGAUUAAAAUCGCCAACAUUCUUCUCCCCUGCAUUGACAUUACUAGGAUUCUCGAGGGCAGGAACAUUGACUUCAAGCCUGCGCUUGAAGAACUUUAUUUCGAGGACAGUCCACCAACUGAGGAGAUCAGUCAUACCGAAGGAGCUACAACAGAAGAUAUUGUUGAGACGGAUGAUAUAGAUGAGGCGGAGUUUGACACGAGCAUGUAUCAUUUCAGUGAGCAUAUACCUCCUACGAGGGAAAGCAGGAGUUUGAGCGAAGCUCACAGGAACAACAGCCAGCUGCAGAAGUGGUGCAUGAAACAGGACAAGUUACUCGCCAAGUGCCUUAGGGCUAUCAAGUUUCUGAAGAACAAGCUCAGCUGCUCCUCUUCCACUACAGCUAUUCCGCAGGGACAUCUCCCUCAGGACAUGCCUUCGAGGAGAUAUGACGCGCCCGAGCCAAGUCGGCGCAGGCCUGAACCUAGAGAGCAGGAGAUUCCGCAUGUCCCUCCGAGGCAUUCAUCAUUCGAGCCUCGUGAAUCUGGGAGGAAGAGGAGGACCCUACUCACUCGGUCUAGCAGUAGGAGUUGACGACUUCUACAGUCUCGUAGUUUACACGACCGCGGUGCUGGCCGCAGCAAAAGGAGAGAGGUCGAGUAUCCUCAGAGCGGUGCUGGCCGCCACAGAGCUGAUGAGGUCGAGUACCCACCUGCUGGAGCUGAUACAGAACAAGGUGGUUCGUCUAUGGCCUGGGAGCAAUCACAGGUAGCCAUUGACGAGCAACUACGUUCAUUCUUCGACUGAGGUAAGCGUCUCACUUCACCAUUGUAUUAUAUCAUCUGUUGUGAUUUGUUUCUUCAUUUUUUUGCUUCUGUGAUUGGAUUUGUCCUGAGUACUCUCUUCCAAGUUUAUGCGCACAAUGGACUGUGUGAUUUAAGUUUGGGGGAGGGCUCAGGAAGUGUGUGUUGCAUUGUAUAUAUUUUUGAGUCUACAUUCAUUUUUGAGUCUAUUUUUGAGAAAGCUUCUCCUAGAGUUAAGAGAAAAGAAAAGAAUGAUUAGAAAAAGGGCUUAAAAGAUUCAUGAAUGCAAAAGGUAGAGUUAAGUUCUUAUAUUGAGAUUGGAGAUGGGAUUACCAUUAGAGCUUCAUUUGACAUACUCCGGGUAGAUGGGAUCUUAUCUCUGUAUGCAUAGCUUGGGACUUACCUUUAGCAUUCUAAUAAAGUUUAAUCAUUUCUUGAGAGAUCCCCUGUUGCUGAAGCCUAUUCUAUAAGGGACCAUCUUUAUCUCUUGACCUUUUACCGUAGCCAAAUCAGUUCAUUGAUGAUGCAUUGCUUGAUACACGUUCCAGAACUAAUGAAUGUUAAAGGGAUUAGUAGAUUUGAAAACAUGUGUAGGUCGAGCAUAUGAGUCAGAUUGAUUGAUAAUGAGGCAUGGCUAACGUUUUUAAGUAGAAUGCAUUUAGUUUAGUUUCAUGUCUCUUUUCAUGCAUUCUUAGUCUCUUUUCCUUUUUUUGCACAUUUUGCAUUGCAUUGCAUAGCAUACUUGCAUUUGGAGUGUUUUGCAGGUGAAUUAGGUACUUUUGGACUCAACUUGGAGGUUUCUAGCACAAGGGAUGGACAAACUCGAGUUCGGGGGACCUAAGGAAGGAUUUGAAGUAUACUCGGCCUAUGUACUCGGCCUAUGUACUCGGCUGGAGGCCGAGAGGAGCACACGUGAAGAACAAGGAGCCUACUCGACCAAGGCACUCGGCUGAAGGCCGAGUGGUACAUUUAAGGAAGAAGAGAAGCCACUCGACCAAGCCACUCGGCCAAGAGCCGAGCUAUGUGACCAAGACCAAGCCACUCGGCUUUUCUACUCGGCCUAGGGCCGAGCGCUCCUGCGCCGACUUUCCUAUUUUGUCUUAUUCCCAAUUAGGGCAACCUAGGAUUGCGUAUAAAUAGACCUCUUAUGUUUUUGCCCAAAAUAUCUUUGUUUUGUCUGCUGGAUAUUAGGGUUCUUAGAUUUCUUUUGCAUUUUCUGGUUGUUGUGUUGAGAAUUUGGAUUUCAUUUCUUCUGGAAACUUGUUUAUCUCAUUGAGAUCUAUCAUUUUUUAAGUUUCUAAUGAUUUCUGGGUUUUAUGAAUUUUCUGGGUUUUGUUCUAUGAUGUUCUUCAUUGUUCUUGAGUAGUCUUCUUCAGAGUUCUUGAGGAUGGGUUAGGUUUAGGUGGAUUCCUCUUUUCUUUAGCUAGCUAAGUUUAUAAAUGCAUGAUUCCCUUCUGUUUUAGGAGUUCUUAAUGCUAUUUUCUUUCUGAUCAAUUGAAAAUUGAUUUCAGACUUUCUCCACCUAAUAAGUGUUUGAUGAAAUGUCUGAACCAACUAAUUUCAGAGAUUUGUAGAUUCUAGCCCAAGACAUUGGAUGUUUAGACUGCUUAUUGACUUUAAUAGAUUGGUGUUUAAAGCCUGCUUUAUUAUGUUUCAUCAAUGAAAAUUGAGAUUAGGAAGUUCUAAAGUUAUGAGAAUCAUUGUCACGAAAGUGGAUUGAUUUGGUUUUGAAUCUAUUGUCUAGGGAUAGCUUGAUUGAGUUUGUUAGUUAGCUAAUGGAUUGAGGAGUCCACUAAGACCAAUCACCCCAUUCUUAAGAGCUCUGUUUCGUUUAUUUGUGCAAAACUCGUGUUUUUAGUACUCUGUUCGUCUCGUGCAAAAUUGGUGUUUUUAGUAUUGUACUCGACCUGUUUACUCGUUUGCUCGACCGAGUGCUUUACCUAGUGCUUGGUUUACUUUCCGCUUUUGCUAUUUGAGUUCUUUAUUUUCUGCUUAGUGUAGUUUUGUUUCUGAAUUUAAUUGCAUGUUAACCUGUUGCUUAGGUUUAGUAGAAACACACCAAACCUAUUCACACUUGGCUUGACUUAGUAUUCUCUGAUCGUAUCCUGAUUGAUAGCAAUUACACCCAUUUGGAUUGAUACCUUAAAUGCUGCAAUGACAUAAGAUGCAUUUAGGGAAUUGACACACACAAAACCCUUGUAUCACCAACUCUGUUCAUUCUUCGACUAAGGUAAGUGCCUCACUUCACCAUUGUAUUAUAUCAUCUCUUGUAAUUUGUUCUUUAUUUUGUUUCUGUGAUUGGAUUUGUCAUGAGUAUCUCUUCCAAGUUUAGUCACACAGUGGACUCUGUGAUUUAUGUUUGGGGGAGGGCUCAGGAAGUGUGUGUUGCAUUGUAUAUAUUCUUGAGUCUACAUUCAUCUAAGGCAUAGAAAAACCAAAAAAAUUUCAA
rnacentral:sRNA from 1 species